UACGAAGGGUGCUAGCGUUGUUCGGAAUCACUGGGCGUAAAGCGCGCGUAGGCGGCUUGCCAAGUCAGGGGUGAAAUCCUGGGGCUUAACCCCAGAAUUGCCUUUGAAACUGGCGAGCUAGAGUACUGGAGGGGUUGGCGGAAUUCCUAAUGUAGAGGUGAAAUUCGUAGAUAUUAGGAGGAACACCGGUGGCGAAGGCGGCCAACUGGACAGUAACUGACGCUCUGGCGCGAAAGCGUGGGUAUCAAACAGG
rnacentral:rRNA from 1 species